rnacentral:misc_RNA from 1 species
GUGGUGUUUGGUUUGUUACGGNUGGCUGGCUGUUUGCAUUUGCACCAACGGUCACCUGUUCUUACCACUUCAUUAGUACGACAAGGCUUGUACGGUCUUGUGCGUAUUGUGGGCUUUCUGUGUUGCAUACCUGUUUGAUGGUAACCUUUGGACAGAUUUGAUGGCUGUUUCGUCUUGCGCUGCAUCAGUGGUGCGAGGCGAACCUUGAAGUGAUCCCUUUGAUCCAUUACGAUGACGUGCAUGCGUUGAUGUUGUGGCUCAUUGGACGUUGCUUGGUAUCCUGUGUACGGAACAUAAAUUGGGCAUGAGGUCUUUAUUGAGAUCUUUGUUUGUCCUAGUUUAGCGUUUGCGCUUCUCUAAAACGAUCGCUUGUCGUGUGUGGGCUUGUCCCUAUGCGGCUGGUAUGUCGAAGAGGAAUGC